UGAGUAACGCGUGAGAAUCUGCCUUUGGACGGGGACAACUGCUGGAAACGGCAGCUAAGACCGGAUAUGCCCUUGGGUGAAAUAUUGUAUAGCCAAAAGAGGAGCUCGCGACCGAUUAGCUAGUUGGUGGGGUAAGAGCCUACCAAGGCUGCGAUCGGUAGCCGGUUUGAGAGGACGACCGGCCACACUGGGACUGAGACACGGCCCAGACUCCUACGGGAGGCAGCAGUGGGGAAUUUUCCGCAAUGGGCGAAAGCCUGACGGAGCAAUACCGCGUGAGGGAGGAAGGCUCUUGGGUCGUAAACCUCUUUUCUCAAGGAAGAAUCAAAUGACGGUACUUGAGGAAUCAGCAUCGGCUAACUCCGUGCCAGCAGCCGCGGUAAUACGGAGGAUGCAAGCGUUAUCCGGAAUGAUUGGGCGUAAAGCGUCCGCAGGUGGCACAUCAAGUCUGCUGUCAAAGCCCCCAGCUUAACUGGGAAGAGGCGUGGAAACUGGUGAGCUAGAGAGCAAUAGGGGUAGAGGGAAUUCCCGGUGUAGCGGUGAAAUGCGUAGAGAUCGGGAAGAACACCAGUGGCGAAAGCGCUCUACUAGGUUGCGACUGACACUGAGGGACGAAAGCUAGGGGAGCGAAUGGGAUUAGAUACCCCAGGUAGUACUCCGUUAC
rnacentral:rRNA from 1 species